ensembl:snRNA U1 U1 spliceosomal RNA
AUACUUACCUGACAGGGGGGAUACCAUGAUCACGAAGGUGGUUUUCCCAGGGCGAGGCUUACCCAUUGCACUCCGGAUGUGCUGACCCCUGCCAUUUCCCCAAAUGUGGGAAACUCGACUGCAUAAUUUGUGGUAGCGGGGGACUGCGUUCGUGCUUUCGCCUG